rnacentral:rRNA from 1 species
GAUGAACGCUAGCGGCGUGCUUAACACAUGCAAGUCGAACGAUGAAGCCCAGCUUGCUGGGUGGAUUAGUGGCGAACGAGUGAGUAACACGUGAGUAACCUGCCCUUGACUCUGGGAUAAGCCUGGGAAACUGGGUCUAAUACUGGAUAUGACUUCUCAUCGCAUGGUGGGGGGUGGAAAGAUUUAUUGGUCUUGGAUGGACUCGCGGCCUAUCAGCUUGUUGGUGAGGUAAUGGCUCACCAAGGCGACGACGGGUAGCCGGCCUGAGAGGGUGACCGGCCACACUGGGACUGAGACACGGCCCAGACUCCUACGGGAGGCAGCAGUGGGGAAUAUUGCACAAUGGGCGCAAGCCUGAUGCAGCGACGCCGCGUGAGGGAUGACGGCCUUCGGGUUGUAAACCUCUUUCAGUAGGGAAGAAGCGAGAGUGACGGUACCUGCAGAAGAAGCGCCGGCUAACUACGUG